CCUACGGGAGGCAGCAGUCGAGAAUCAUUCACAAUGGGGGAAACCCUGAUGGUGCGACGCCGCGUGGGGGAAUGAAGGUCUUCGGAUUGUAAACCCCUGUCAUGUGGGAGCAAAUUAAAAAGAUCGUACCACACGAGGAAGAGACGGCUAACUCUGUGCCAGCAGCCGCGGUAAUACAGAGGUCUCAAGCGUUGUUCGGAAUCACUGGGCGUAAAGCGUGCGGAGGCUGUUUCGUAAGUCGUGUGUGAAAGGCGCGGGCUCAACCCGCGGACGGCACAUGAUACUGCGAGACUAGAGUAAUGGAGGGGGAACCGGAAUUCUCGGUGUAGCAGUGAAAUGCGUAGAUAUCGAGAGGAACACUCGUGGCGAAGGCGGGUUCCUGGACAUUAACUGACGCUGAGGCACGAAGGCCAGGGGAGCGAAAGGGAUUAGAUACCCUAGUAGUC
rnacentral:rRNA from 1 species